GGAUGAGGCUAGGAUGAUGGUGAUGUAAAUAAAUAAAGAAAAAGAAAUUCAAACAAAGAUUAGUGACUGACCAGGGAGUAUUGGUGUGAAAAUGGAAAAUCUCCAACUGUCCUAUUUUGGCAAACAAAUGUCUGUGAAUCAGAGAUUAGGAUUGUUCAACCAAUCUAAUCUUGGGAUUGUGACUUGGCAGUAGUGAACUACACAAUAUACUUGUUUUGGUUAAGUUAAGCUUGUUUUGGUUUUUGCAGGGCAUAAUUGAAGUGCAUAGAAGGAUUUUUUUUUUUCAUUCAUCAAUUGCUUGAAGGUGGUGUAAAAUAUUGCUUUCUUUGGUGAAUGAUUUUAUGCUGUUUUGAUGAGCAGGUAGCCAAGGACAUAUAACUGCUAGAUUCCAUUGCUGAGAAGCAACCCCAAAUCUUCUCUGAAGAAUGCAAGUAUUAUUGAAGUAAAGAGUUUGAUUUUUUUCACCGGAGUUUGAAGAUGAAUCAUAAUGCUAGUUGAUUUACUUGAUGCCUCUGCCUUUUGGAUGGAUUGAAGAUUUUUGGGGUCCUAAUGCAUUUGGUUUAUUUUGACUUUUGUUACUGAAUAUUUAUUGGAUGUUGCAUGUUAUUAGCACAUGGGAUGACCAAAAAUGAGUGAUGCCCCAUUGGUUUGACCUGGAAAAUUUAUUAUAACUAACCUUUUCAAGUAAUUGGAUGAUUCAUAUGAUCCAGUAACAUUUGUUGUUUCAUGUC